rnacentral:rRNA from 1 species
UACGUAGGGUGCGAGCGUUGUCCGGAAUUAUUGGGCGUAAAGGGCUCGUAGGCGGUCUGUUGCGUCAGGAGUGAAAACUCGGGGCUUAACCCCGAGCCUGCAGUGGAUACGGGCAGACUAGAGGUAGGUAGGGGAGAAUGGAAUUCCCGGUGUAGCGGUGAAAUGCGCAGAUAUCAGGAGGAACACCAGUGGCGAAGGCGCCGCUCUGGGCCGUGACUGACGCUGAAGAGCGAAAGCGUGGGUAGCAAACAGG